rnacentral:rRNA from 1 species
UUGAACGCUGGCGGCAUGCUUUACACAUGCAAGUCGAACGGUAGACCCUUUCGGGGGUUGAGAGUGGCGAACGGGUGAGUAAUGCAUCGGAACAUAUCCGGGAGUGGGGGAUAACGUAGCGAAAGUUAUGCUAAUACCGCAUAUGCCCUGAGGGGGAAAGUGGGGGAUCGCAAGACCUCACGCUUUCGGAGUGGCCGAUAUCGGAUUAGCUAGUUGGUGGGGUAAAGGCCCACCAAGGCGACGAUCCGUAGCUGGUCUGAGAGGACGACCAGCCACACUGGGACUGAGACACGGCCCAGACUCCUACGGGAGGCAGCAGUGGGGAAUUUUGGACAAUGGGGGCAACCCUGAUCCAGCCAUGCCGCGUGAGUGAAGAAGGCCUUCGGGUUGUAAAGCUCUUUCGGACGGAAAGAAACGGUCACGGCCAAUACCCGUGGCUAAUGACGGUACCGUCAGAAGAAGCACCGGCUAACUACGU